GGCGGAAGUUUUCGGAUGGAAGCUUGUAAACUUGGUGGCGGACGGGUGAGUAACACGUGAGCAACCUGCCUAUCAGAGGGGGAUAACGAUUGGAAACGAUCGCUAAUACCGCAUGACAUAGCGGAAUCGCAUGGUUCUGUUAUCAAAGAUUUUAUCGCUGAUAGAUGGGCUCGCGUCCGAUUAGAUAGUUGGUGGGGUAACGGCCUACCAAGUCGACGAUCGGUAGCCGGACUGAGAGGUCGAACGGCCACAUUGGGACUGAGACACGGCCCAGACUCCUACGGGAGGCAGCAGUGGGGGAUAUUGCACAAUGGGGGAAACCCUGAUGCAGCGACGCCGCGUGAGGGAAGACGGUCCUCUGGAUUGUAAACCUCUGUCUUCGGGGACGAAACGAGACGGUACCCGAGGAGGAAGCCACGGCUAACUACGUGCCAGCAGCCGCGGUAAUACGUAGGUGGCAAGCGUUGUCCGGAAUUACUGGGUGUAA
rnacentral:rRNA from 1 species